UACAGAGGGUGCAAGCGUUAAUCGGAAUAACUGGGCGUAAAGGGCGAGUAGGCGGAAUGAUAAGUGAGGUGGUAAAGACAUGGGCUUAACCUGUGGGUGACACCUUAGACUGUGAUUCUAGAGAUCAGGAGAGGGGAGUGGAAUUUCCGGAGGAGCGGUAAAAUGCGUAGAUUUCGGAAGGAACACCGGUGGCGAAGGCGACUUUCUGGCCUGGAUCUGACGCUGAGGCGCGAAGGCGUGGGGAGCAAACAGG
rnacentral:rRNA from 1 species